rnacentral:rRNA from 1 species
UACGUAGGGACCGAGCGUUGUCCGGAAUCAUUGGGCGUAAAGAGCGUGUAGGCGGCUGACCAAGUCCUGCGUGAAAUCUUGCGGCUCAACCGCAAGCGGUCGUGGGAAACGUGGUCGGCUAGAGUGCGGGAGAGGAGAGUGGAAUUCCUGGUGUAGCGGUGAAAUGCGUAGAUAUCAGGAGGAACACCUGCGGUGUAGACGGCUUUCUGGACCAUUGUUGACGCUGAGACACGAAAGCGUGGGUAGCAAACAGG